UGGGGAAUAUUGGACAAUGGGCGAAAGCCUGAUCCAGCCAUGCCGCGUGUGUGAAGAAGGUCUUCGGAUUGUAAAGCACUUUAAGUUGGGAGGAAGGGCAGUAAGCGAAUACCUUGCUGUUUUGACGUUACCGACAGAAUAAGCACCGGCUAACUCUGUGCCAGCAGCCGCGGUAAUACAGAGGGUGCAAGCGUUAAUCGGAAUUACUGGGCGUAAAGCGCGCGUAGGUGGUUCGUUAAGUUGAAUGUGAAAGCCCCGGGCUCAACCUUGGAACUGCAUCCAAAACUGGCGGGCUAGAGUAUGGUAGAGGGUGGUGGAAUUUCCUGUGUAGCGGAGAAAUGCGUAGAUAUAGGAAGGAACACCAGUGGCGAAGGCGACCACCUGGGCUCAUACUGACUCUGAGGUGCGAAAGCGUGGGGAGCAAACAGG
rnacentral:rRNA from 1 species